rnacentral:rRNA from 1 species
AAUUUACCACAAUGGGCGAAAGCAUGAUGGAGCAACGCCGCGUGAGUGAAGAAGGCUUUCGGCUCGUAAAACUCUGUUGUACGGGACGAACGCGUACAGUGGUAACUGGCUGUACCUGGACGGUACCUUAUCAGAAAGCCAAGCCUAACACCGAGCAAGCAGCCGCGGUAAUACGUAGGUGGCAAGCGUUGACCGUAAUUAUUGGGCGUAAAGCGCGCGCAGGCGGUCCUUUAAGUCUGAUGUGAAAGCCCACGGCCCAACCGUGGAGGGUCAGUGGAAACUGGGGGACUUGAGUGCAGAAGAGGAAAGUGGAAUUCCAAGUGUAGCGGUGAAAUGCGUAGAGAUUUGGAGGAACACCAGUGGCGAAGGCGACUUUCUGGUCUGUAACUGACGCUGAGGCGCGAAAGCGUGGGGAGCAAACAGG